rnacentral:rRNA from 1 species
AGCAGCCGCGGUAAUUCCAGCUCCAAUAGCGUAUAUUAAAGUUGUUGCAGUUAAAAAGCUCGUAGUUGAAUUUCGGGAUUGACGUGAUGGUCAUGCCUUAAGGGGUAUGAACUGUUACUGUUGAUUUCUCACCUUCUGGAGAAACUUGAUGUCCUUUAUUGGGUGUCUUGCGGAUCCAGGACCUUUACCUUGAAAAAUUAGAGUGUUUAAAGCAGGCAUUUUUGCUCGAAUACAUUAGCAUGGAAUAAUAGAAUAGGACGGCAUGGUUCUAUUUUGUUGGUUUCUAGGAUCACCGUAAUGAUUAAUAGGGAUAGUUGGGGGCAUUAGUAUUCAAUUGUCAGAGGUGAAAUUCUUGGAUUUAUUGAAGACUAACUACUGCGAAAGCAUUUGCCAAGGAUGUUUUCAUUAAUCAAGAACGAAAGUUAGGGGAUCGAAGACGAUCAGAUACCGUCGUAGUCUUAACCAUAAACUAUGCCGACUAGGGAUCGGAUGA